rnacentral:rRNA from 1 species
UAGGGAAUCUUCCGCAAUGGGCGAAAGCCUGACGGAGCAACGCCGCGUGAGUGAUGAAGGUCUUCGGAUCGUAAAACUCUGUUAUUAGGGAAGAACAAAUGUGUAAGUAACUAUGCACGUCUUGACGGUACCUAAUCAGAAAGCCACGGCUAACUACGUGCCAGCAGCCGCGGUAAUACGUAGGUGGCAAGCGUUAUCCGGAAUUAUUGGGCGUAAAGCGCGCGUAGGCGGUUUUUUAAGUCUGAUGUGAAAGCCCACGGCUCAACCGUGGAGGGUCAUUGGAAACUGGAAAACUUGAGUGCAGAAGAGGAAAGUGGAAUUCCAUGUGUAGCGGUGAAAUGCGCAGAGAUAUGGAGGAACACCAGUGGCGAAGGCGACUUUCUGGACUGUAACGGACGCUGAUGUGCGAAAGCGGGGGGAUCAAACAGG